UGACUUGUGUCAUGCACAAAGUAGAUGUCCUAACCGACUUGCCAAAACUAUAGUUGUUGAAAAAAACGAGUUUUAAUGACUCCAACCUAAGUGUAUGUAAACUUCCGACUUCAACUGUAUAUUUUGGGAAACUAUAGAAUCAUCAAAGUGAUAUGUGUAAAUUAGUUAUAUUUAUGUAUUUUAGUAUAAUAACAGAAAUCUGAGAUAAAAUAUCUACAGACUCACGUAUUUAGUACAUAGUUAAGAACACAUGUGAUAUUAAUGCAUUAUGAAUGAUAUCAGAUGCCUCAUUAGGGUUAGAUGGCAUUAAUAUUCCAUUAUUACUCCUGGCUUCAUGGACCCUUAUGUUCUCUUCUUCCCAGGCAGAAGGACCAUCUCAUUGGCAAUAUGGUGUAGAUAUAUUUUAGAAGAAUUUGUUUUUAUUUCGGGGAGGGGGGGGGGGGGGGGCUCUGCUCUAAUGUAAAUCAUGUCCUCAAAAGUUUGGUGAAAAUGAAAAGCGUGGAAUACUAUUCUGAAAUGAAACUGGACUCUUUUCAUAUAUCAGCCAUGAAUGCAAUCAAUUAUAAAAUCCAUGCCUUUGUAGACACAAGAAUAAAGGGCAUUUAAAUAGAGCUUAAUGUGAUACUAUAAUAACUAUAAUAACUAGAGCAUGCCAGCUAGGUGUCUGGAAGAGAAAUCAUUAAAUGGAAAUAUUAAUUUGAAUUAUUUAAUUUGGAUCUCAGUCUUAACUCCUCUUCCAACUUCGGAAUGAUCUAAAAGGUUUUGUUUUUCAAAUCUUGUUUUCAGACAUAAAAAAUCAUCCUCAUUCCCUCUAAACAUGUCAUUUCGGAGGCCGUUUGGGAGUUAAAACGUUCUAGGGGACAUGUUAAUGACACCGUAUAUGGCAUCCGUUGGAAAACUCAUAAAUUUGAAAAAUGAGUCUGGCAACGAUGGCCAAUCAGAGGCCAGUCAAGGCCGUUGUUGCGGGGAAACACGGAGGCCAGUCACUGCAGGCCUUGCAGAAGGUAAAUACAUCCCCACCCAGCUCAUUGGCAGCCUGCGGUUAAACCAGGGCCAAUACUGGGUGAUUCAAAUGACAUGAUACUGAUUGGAACCUUUUAAAGUGCAGUAGUUAAAUGAAAAGCCUGUUGGAGUGGGAGACACAUCAUCUCAUCCAAUCCCACUCAUUGCAACAACACAUACAAGAGCUAUGAGGUUUUCCUCCCAACUCUAAACUGUUUUUGUCAUACGCCAAUGUUAAUCUCCGUGCGUCGUGCGUAGUACGUAGUAUAAUAAAUACAACCUCGCAGUCCCAAAGUGUUCCCUUCUGAACGUUUAUUGGCCUAUUUCAAACUCCAUUGUAAAAUAUACUUGAUAAAGAAUCAGUACGUUCCGAAACCAAUUUUUCACUGCAAUGACUAGCCGUUACAGCACAUCCUUCAGGAAAUGAUCAAACGUGAACUCCGUGUUUAGGGAGUCAUUGAGGUGCGUACUGACUUCCCUGAACACCCAGUAGGUGUGUUCACAGAGCAUCUCAGAGUUGAGGUGGUUAUCUAGGAUCAGGCCCCCCUCCUCCCUCUUCUUGUUCAUUAUGAUGUUAACACUGAUCCUGGAUGUGGUCUCUCUUUCUGAAUACUGGCCCAGUAGCAGUGUCAGGAAAAUCCUGUAUGUCAUUGGUUACCCACCAGGAUACAGGUCAGCAUAUCUGACCCUAACCCACCAGGAUGCAUGUCAACAUAUCUGACCCCAACCCACCAGGAUACAGGGCAACAUAUCUGACCCUAACCCACCAGGAUACAGGUCAUCAUAUCUGACCCUAACCCACCAGGAUACAGGUCAUCAUAUCUGACCCUAAUCCACCAGGAUACAGGUCAACAUAUCUGACCCUAAACCACCAGGAUACAGGCCAACAUAUCUGACCCCAACCCUAACCCACCAGGAUACAGGUCAACAUAUCUGACCCCAACCCUAACCCACCAGGAUACAGGUCAACAUAUCUGACCCCAAUCCCAACCCACCAGGAUACAGGUCAACAUAUCUGACCCCAACCCACCAGGAUACAGGUCAACAUAUCUGACCCCAACCCUAACCCACCAGGAUACAGGUCAACAUAUCUGACUCCAACCAUAACCCACCAGGAUACAGGUCAACAUAUCUGACCCCAACCCUAACCCACCAGGAUACAGGUCAACGUAUCUGACCCUAGACAGACAGACAGACAGACAGACAAAACCUGUGAUCUAAACGUCUCUAUCUUGAAAAUUUGAAAAUAGCUUUCAAUUGUAAAAUGUCAUCGGGAGACAUUUUACUUCCUGAAACUUCCUGAAACGGUGUCGGUACACUUUAAUUUAGUUUAGCCUCUCAUCGUCUCACAGGCCCCAUUGAGGUGAAAAGGAAAUGGGAUUACAUUUUCUAAAGGAAUCCAGUUUUGUAAGCAUCCACUAACCUACACCAAAUACAUGUACGAGCUUCGGCAACAGUCUUUGGGUCAAUUAACUUCCUAAAAAAAAAAUAGGGCCAUUACAUAUAAGAUGCCUGUCUUAACACGCCCCUCAAAGUGGACAUUUCACAGUGAAUUAAAAAUCAGUUUGUAUCAUAAUGAAUUAUAUAUAAAAGCUACAUGAAGCUAGUGAUGAGGACACGUAGUGAUGUUAGUAAAGUAUCUGCAUAUAAUGUGUUAGUGUUAUUUAUGGUUUGAUCUUUUAUGGUUUCUUUUAUUUAACCCCCUUGGUUUGUGUAAUAUACUGUAUUAUUUUCUGAGAUGACACAUUAUUAAGAAAUAUCUGCCUUUUACAGACUAAACUUGGCUUUUUAAGACAUAUAUGUCAGAAAUUUAACUUAUUUACAUUACCAACAUACAUUGUGUGUAUAUAUAUAUAUAUUGACAAAUAAAAUUGACAAAGUAG